UUUUCUUUAUGUGCAUCAAUCAUCUUCUAUCCAAAAUCAAGCAUAUAUUUUUCAAAUACAUGUGUAGUCAUCUAAGCUUUUUUAUUUCUAAAUUGCUUAAUCUCAAGGUUAUCUAAUAGUAAUAACUUUUCUUUAUGUGCAUCAAUCAUCUUCUAUCCAAAAUCAAGCAUAAAUUUUUCAAAUACAUGAGUAGUCAUCUAAGCUUUUUUAUUUCUAAAUUACUUAAUCUCAAGAUUAUCUAAUAGUAAUAUCUUUUCUUUAUGUGCAUCAAUCAUCUUCUAUCCAAAAUCAAGCAUAA
rnacentral:lncRNA from 1 species